rnacentral:misc_RNA from 1 species
GUUAUAUUCUGAAGGACAGAUAAAUAACAGUAAUGAUGAUUAAGAAAGAGGUAGCUGCCUACUUCCUUUCAAACCUUGCCAAAACAAAAGGUGGAAGAACUAAGAAGGACGCAAAUUGAAAGGAAAAGAAAGCAAAGUGGUAGAGGAUUUUGUCUCAUACAAAGACAAUACGUACAUCUUUCUUUGCCUCCCAAGUGAUAAUAUAGCUAUAUAGCACGAAUACAAAGGUAGCAUAAUAAGGUCGUUCUCAAUUUGCUGCCGUUUCUCAUCUUGUCUCGUGUCGUGCCCAUUUGCAGCCUUUUGACAAAGAGAAAAAAGCAUUUCUGUUUUGUCAUUGCCUCUUCACCAGGACCACAUCUAAAGUAAAAACAAGCCAAACCUAUCUCAUUGUAGACCCAAACCCUGCCAUUUAUCUUGUAAGGCACUUCAGUCCACACCCAUUUAAUCCUCUAAACCACCUGGGACCCAAGCUGUGGCAAAUACUGAGUUGUGACCCUUCCAUGUGAGCACCAACAUAUCUUCUUCUCUUUUCAUCCCCCAACCACUAGCAUGUUCAUCUAGUAAGGACUUGACUUCUCUAACAGUCUCUUCACAGAAUUGAACACUUAAACAACCAGCGUUCUUCAUCCUUUGUGAUAGUUUAAUGCCAGAUUCUAAUCUUUCUAUUCUUUGGAACCCAUCAUAACUGAUGAUAUUCUCAAUUUUGUGACCAAUAUCGGAUUCAUAUUCAAUCCUUUGGCAACUAUCUUUGGGAAGGAAAGUUUCUAAGGCAUCAAAUGGUAUCCAUAGAUAAUUGAAGCAACUAGUAAUCCUGGAAGUGAGACUUAGUGCACUUAAAUCAGAAUCCUCGUCGACGACAACUAUAAGACAAGGAUUAAGGCCUUUAAUGGUACGAAGAAAAUCAUCUCUUAGAGAAGAGUCUUGGACUCUUCCCUUUUGCUCAUCCGACAAAUAUCGUAGCCAAUUUUGGCAGUUUAUUACCAAGGCCUCAUCGUCCCUAAGGUCUAGCAAAGGAGUCAAGUGAUUCAAUAAUGACUCAAAAUGAAAACCAGAGGAUUCUUUGCACAUAAUUUCAGUUGAUGUAGAGGAAGAACAUCGGUCAUCAAUCACUUUGAAUUCAAAUGGCACAUCCCUGAACUUAGCGAAAUUGCCUAAACGAAGGCCAACUUCUUCAGUUGAUACGUUAAGCAAAGGAGGAACUGGU